CAGCAGCCACGGUAAUACGGAGGGAGCUAGCGUUGUUCGGAAUUACUGGGCGUAAAGCGCACGUAGGCGGCUUUGUAAGUCAGAGGUGAAAGCCUGGAGCUCAACUCCAGAACUGCCUUUGAGACUGCAUCGCUUGAAUCCAGGAGAGGUGAGAGGAAUUCCGAGUGUAGAGGUGAAAUUCGUAGAUAUUCGGAAGAACACCAGUGGCGAAGGCGACUGACUGGACAAGUAUUGACGCUGAGGUGCGAAAGCGUGGGGAGCAAACAGGAUUAGAUACCCCAGUAGUCCCUGUCUCUUAUAC
rnacentral:rRNA from 1 species